AUCCAACUGACGAGUCCCCAAAUAGGAUGAAACGCGCUUUCUGGAU
rnacentral:hammerhead_ribozyme from 1 species